rnacentral:lncRNA from 1 species
UGUUCAGGCACUCUUCCUCAAAGGUUGGGCUUAGGAAUCAUGUUCUUAUUUAGAUUCUGCUCACUUCCCUAUCCUUUUCUUCUUCUCAGUUUCAGCGUUCAAAAAGCUGUGUGAAUUUCACACUACCUAAAUGAAAAUUUAAAAUUAUCCAAUUCCACCAAAAUUUAUUCAGAAUCUAGUGUGUGCCAGGCAUUUUGUUAAGCACUGGGUAUGAACAACUGAGUAAAAUACUCCAGAAUCUGAUACGUUAGAAGGAAUUUAGAAAAGUAAAUACAGAGCUGUAAUAAAAUUAGGAUCGGUCCCAUGAUAGCAUUGUUUUUAAAAUGUGAGUGUAUAAGUGAGCAAGAUUAAUUUCAUUGGGUAGUGAGAAGAUAGGGAGAAACCAGAGAAUUGUAAAUACAUUUGAUCUGAUACUGGAAAGAGGUCAUGUAGACCAGAAAAGGAAAGAUACCCAGAUACCUCAAGGUGAGGAACUAGCACUAGGAAGAAGCACGGUGUGUUCAAGGUAACGAGCUGUUGGGGUGAAGCGGAAGAAAGCAGCCGAUGAUCUUAAAGCUAUCAACUGUGGAAUCAAUUCUAGCAGCUUUCAAAUGCGUGUACUUAAAAAAAAGAAAGAAUUUCCAACAGACAUAUAAAAUGCCAGAAUUAAAGUUCCUUCGCCAUUUCAGCUGCCACCAUCCCCUCUCCCCAAAACCCCAGUAGACAUCAACAGAAUCCAGAAACUACAGGGUCCACUGGCAUGGCAGGGCCUGUAGGAUUCUUUUCCAAUGUGUACAGAUUGGCUGAUGCCUGGACUAUGCCAGUUCACUGUUUUAAAGAUUACUCUUGAUUGUCACAAUUAAAAACAAAGAAUAUUUAGAACCAAAUUAUAUGUGUUGCACAUUAAACAAAACGUUUUAUAAUAUGUUCUAAAAGUCAGCAAAGGUUAUUUAGCUGUGUAUGAUUCAUUUCACAAUUCCAUUUUUUAAUAUUGUAAUUCUCCCUUAUGCCUUCUAAUUUUUUUUGAAAUGACCACAGAUAUCUUCUGUAGGCCAAAUAGCAUAUUACACAUCUGUCAAAACAUACUUUAUUAUCAUAUAACUCUGUUUACAAAGUCUCUUGAACCCUUUCAGAUUGUUCUGGCUGCUUGUUUUGUGUUCAUUUCUUUCUUUAAUGUGUUUACAUUUUCCAGUCAUUUGUAUAAAUAAGGAUGUACUAGAAUAAAUAGUCUUUCCCCUUUAAGACCCAGUCUAAAUUUCAAGGUUAGUUUUAAAUUUUGUUCUUCAUUUCAAUAUGACAGCAAAGUUGUUUGAUACUAAGAAUAAUUCUUUUUGAUGAAAAUACUAUAUUUAAGAAAUCAAUAAUACUAUGAACUGACUUAUAUUCUCUUUAAAUUUAUAGACCUAACUAUACACCCCAUGUGAUGGUAUUUGGAGAUGGACCUUUGGAAGGUAAUUCAGGUUAGAUGAGAUCAUGAAGGUAUAGUCCUCAUGACGGGAUUAGUGUCUUCAUAAUGUGAUAGAGAGAGAGAGAGAGAGAGAGAAAAGGAGAGAGAGAGGAAGAGAAAUUAUCACAAAAAAAGAGGUCAUCUGAGUACACAGUGAGAUAGAAGCCACCUAUAAUCCAAGAAAAGAGUCCUCAGAAUAAAACCUACCUUGUGGACACCUUGAUCUUGGACUUCCAGUCUCCAGAACUAUGAGAAAUGAAUUUCUGUUGUUUAAGCAACUCAGUCUGUGGUACUUUGUUGUCUCAACUGAAGCAGAUGAAUACAAAUAAUAAAUAGAGUGGUGUACAUUAGUGAUGGAUGGCUCACUAUUAGAGAAGCCCAUAGUCUCUGUGUUGAAUUUUAUUUGCUCAUUGGAAUAAUUGACUCAAAUUUAAAAUUCUCCUCUAACGUUAUGUGUAUAAUUUACCUUCAGAUUGCUAUUGGGUAAACCAAGAAUUCAUUGAGUAAUCACAGAAUACAUAGAGAGAUUCUCUUGGUUCUUGGAAUGACUUCUAAAUUAAUGAUAAAGUGAUGCUCCUUAGAAUGUUAGAGCUUCACAAUGCCUUUCUAGACUCCUGGCUGCAAAGGUGGCUUAAGAAACAAAAGUCAGGCCGGGCGAGGUCGCUCACCACGCCUGUAAGCCCAGCACUUUGGGAGGCAAGGCGGGCGGAUAACGAGGUCAAGAGAUCGAGACCAUCCUUGCUAACGCGGUGAAACCCUGUCUCUACUAAAAAUACAAAAACAAAAAUUAUCUGGGUAUCGUGGCGGAUGCCUGUAGUUCCAGCUACUGGGGAGGCUGAGGUGGGAGAAUGGUGUGAACCCGGGAGGCGGAGCUUGCAGUGAGCCAUGGUUGUGCCACUGCACUCCAGCCUGGGGGAGAGACUGAGACUUCAUCUCAAAAAAAAAAAAAAAAAAAAAAAAAAACAAGAGUCAAAAAAAGAAAGGACCAACCACGGUUGUUUGGUACCAAAAAGAAACUACAACCAUGUUGUGUCCAGAAUUGGUGGGUUCUUGGUCUCACUGACUUCAAGAAUGAAGCCGCGGACCCUCGCGGUGAGUGUAACAGCUCUUAAGGUGGCGCCUCUGGAGUUUUUUCCUUCUGAUAUUCCCAUGUGUUCGGAGUUUCUUCCUUCUGGUGGGUUCAUGGUCUGGCUGGCUCAGGAGUGAAGCUGCAGACCUUCGCAGUGAGUGUUGCAGCUCUUAAAAGCAGUGUGGACCCAAAGAGUGAGCAGUAGCAAGAUUUAUUGCAAAGAGUUAAAGAACAAAGCUUCCACCGUGUGGAAGGGGACCCAAGCGGGUUGCCAAUGCUGGCUCAGGCAGCCUGCUUUUAUUCUCUUAUCUGGCCCCACCCACAUCCUGCUGAUUGGUAGAGCCCAGUGGCCUGUUUUGACAGGGUGCUGAUUGGUGAGUUUACAAUCCCUGAGCUAGAUACAAAGGUUCUCCACGUCCCCAUUAGAUUAGUUAGAUACAGAAUUUCCACACACAGGUUCUCCAAGGCCCCACCAGAGCAGCUAGUUACAGAGUGUCCAUUGGUGCACUCACAAACGCUGAGCUAGACACAGGGUGCUGAUUGGUGUGUUUACAAACCUUGAGCUAGAUACGAGUGCCGAUUGGUGUAUUUACAAUCCCUGAGGUAGACAUAAAGGUUCUCCAAGGCCCCACCAGACUCAGGAGCCCAGCUGCCUUCACCCAGUGGAUCCCGCACCGGGGCUGCAGGUGGAGCUGCUUGCCAGUCCCGCCCCGUGUGCCCGCACUCCUCAGCCCUUGGGUGGUCGAUGGGACUGGGCGCUGUGGAGCAGGGGGUGGUGCUCGUCGGGGAGGCUCGGGCCGCACAGGAGCCCAUGGAGUGGGUGGGAGGCUCAGGCAUGGCAGGCUGCAGGUCCAGAGCCCUGCCCCGCGGGAGGGCAGCUAAGGCCCGGUGAGAAAUCGAGUGCAGCACCGGUGGGCUGGCACUGCUGGGAGACCCAGUACACCCUCCGCAGCCACUGGCCCGGGUGCUAAGCCCCUCACUGCCUGGGGCCGGCAGGGCC